GAACGAACGCUAUCGGUAUGCUUAACACAUGCAAGUCGGACGGACUAAUUAGGGCUUGCUCCAAUUAGUUAGUGGCAGACGGGUGAGUAACACGUGGGAAUCUGCCCAUCAGUACGGAAUAACUUUUAGAAAUAAAAGCUAAUACCGUAUAUUCUCUACAGAGGAAAGAUUUAUCGCUGAUGGAUGAGCCCGCGUCAGAUUAGGUAGUUGGUGAGGUAACGGCUCACCAAGCCGACGAUCUGUAGCUGGUCUGAGAGGAUGAUCAGCCACACUGGGACUGAGACACGGCCCAGACUCCUACGGGAGGCAGCAGUGGGGAAUAUUGGACAAUGGGCGAAAGCCUGAUCCAGCAAUACCGAGUGAGUGAUAAAGGCCCUAGGGUUGUAAAGCUCUUUUAGCAAGGAAGAUAAUGACGUUACUUGCAGAAAAAGCCCCGGCUAACUCCGUG
rnacentral:rRNA from 1 species